UCUCCUACGGGAGGCAGCAGUGGGGAAUAUUGCGCAAUGGACGAAAGUCUGACGCAGCGACGCCGCGUGAGGGAUGAAGGUUUUCGGAUCGUAAACCUCUGUCAGGAGGGAAGAAAGCGCAUGGCGCCAAUCAGCCAUGCGUUGACGGUACCUCCAAAGGAAGCGCCGGCUAACUCCGUGCCAGCAGCCGCGGUAAUACGGAGGGUGCGAGCGUUAAUCGGAAUUACUGGGCGUAAAGCGCUCGUAGGCGGUAUGACAAGUCAAG
rnacentral:rRNA from 1 species